GCAAGUAGGGGCGGAGCCUGGAAGUUAACUUUUUGAAUGCGAGACGAGCCAACAAUGUUGAAUUUCUAAAAUUUAUUUGAAUUUUAAAAAUUUUAGUAGAAAAUUCACGUAAGGGUCAUGGGCCCCUAUCCGACCCCCUUGUCUCUGCCACUGCCAACAAGCUAAGCUACCUAAUAAUGGCAAUAUACGUGCAUUCGAACUGAUAGGACUACUGUCUACUGGCAAUAAUUAAUACAGUAAGGUCUUGUUUAAAUCUAAUUUUUUUUUUGAAUUUUGAUACUAUAGUAUUUUCAUUUUUAUUUGAUAACGUUGUGCAAUUAUGGAGUAACUAGUCUUAAAAGAUUCGUCUCAUGAUUUACAGACAAACUGUGCAAUUAAUUUUUGUUUUCAUAUAUAUUUAAUGCUCCAUACAUGUGCCGCAAGAUUCGAUGUGACGGAAAAUCUUAAAAAGUUUUUUUGUUUUUGGGGUGAACUAAAUAAGACCUAAGUGCAUCUUCGAGCUAAGAGCAAGUAUUGUAGCAGGCUGUAAGCCGGCUAAAUGCUAAGAUGGAGUGAAGAGAGUAAAAGCGAGUGU
rnacentral:lncRNA from 1 species